AUUGAACGCUGGCGGCAGGCUUAACACAUGCAAGUCGAGCGGGGUGAUGGUGCUUGCACUAUCACUUAGCGGCGGACGGGUGAGUAAUGCUUAGGAAUCUGCCUAUUAGUGGGGGACAACAUCUCGAAAGGGAUGCUAAUACCGCAUACGUCCUACGGGAGAAAGCAGGGGAUCACUUGUGACCUUGCGCUAAUAGAUGAGCCUAAGUCGGAUUAGCUAGUUGGUGGGGUAAAGGCCUACCAAGGCGACGAUCUGUAGCGGGUCUGAGAGGAGGAUCCGCCACACUGGGACUGAGACACGGCCCAGACUCCUACGGGAGGCAGCAGUGGGGAAUAUUGGACAAUGGGGGGAACCCUGAUCCAGCCAUGCCGCGUGUGUGAAGAGGGCCUUAUGGUUGUAAAGCACUUUAAGCGAGGAGGAGGCUCUUUUGGUUAAUACCCAAGAUGAGUGGACGUUACUCGCAGAAGAAGCACCGGCUAACUCCGUGCCAGCCGCCGCCGUAA
rnacentral:rRNA from 1 species